rnacentral:rRNA from 1 species
UACGUAGGUGACAAGCGUUGUCCGGAUUUACUGGGCGUAAAGCGCACGUAGGCGGCUUUGUAAGUUAGAGGUGAAAGCCCGGAGCUCAACUCCGGAACUGCCUUUAAGACUGCAUCGCUUGAAUCCGGGAGAGGUGAGUGGAAUUCCGAGUGUAGAGGUGAAAUUCGUAGAUAUGGGGAGGAACACCGGUGGCGAAGGCGGCCAUCUGGACGGAUACUGACGCUGAGACGCGAAAGCGUGGGUAGCAAACAGG